GUGGGGAAUAUUGGACAAUGGGGGGAACCCUGAUCCAGCCAUGCCGCGUGUGUGAAGAAGGCCUUUUGGUUGUAAAGCACUUUAAGCGAGGAGGAGGCUACUGAGACUAAUACUCUUGGAUAGUGGACGUUACUCGCAGAAUAAGCACCGGCUAACUCUGUGCCAGCAGCCGCGGUAAUACAGAGGGUGCGAGCGUUAAUCGGAUUUACUGGGCGUAAAGCGUGCGUAGGCGGCUUUUUAAGUCGGAUGUGAAAUCCCCGAGCUUAACUUGGGAAUUGCAUUCGAUACUGGGAAGCUAGAGUAUGGGAGAGGAUGGUAGAAUUCCAGGUGUAGCGGUGAAAUGCGUAGAGAUCUGGAGGAAUACCGAUGGCGAAGGCAGCCAUCUGGCCUAAUACUGACGCUGAGGUACGAAAGCAUGGGGAGCAAACAGGAUUAGAAACCCGGGUAGUCC
rnacentral:rRNA from 1 species